rnacentral:lncRNA from 1 species
CUGAAUGCAGUGUCAGUUAUAGCCUGCCCGACCAUGCCUCCCGUAACUGAACAGCCACCGUUAGUAACCCCAGGGCCACACUCAGGACCGAUUGUGUAUGAAGCUCCAAGUGAACAGCCACCAGUGAACGGCAGUGAAUGUGU